CAGCCGCCGCGGUAAUACCGGCGGCCCGAGUGGCGGUCACUAUUAUUGGGCUUAAAGCGUCCGUAGCCGGGUUGGGAAGUCCUCCGGGAAAUCUGGCCGCUUAACGGUCAGAAUGCCGGAGGAUACUCCCAGCCUAGGGAGCGGGAGAGGCCGAGGGUAUUCCCGGAGUAGGGGUGAAAUCCUAUAAUCCCGGGAGGACCACCUGUGGCGAAGGCGCUCGGCGGGAACGCGUCCGACGGGGAGGGACGAAGGCCAGGGGAGCAAACCGGAUUAGAUACCCGGGUAGUCCUGGCUGUAAACGAUGCGGACUUUGUGUCGGACAAGCUAUGAGCUUGUCCGGUGCCGGAGGGAAACCGUUAAGUCCGCCGCCUGGGGAGUACGGCCGCAAGGCUGAAACUUAAAGGAAUUGGCGGG
rnacentral:rRNA from 1 species